ACCCGUUCCCAUGCCGAACACGGAAGUUAAGCUCUUCAGCGCCGAUGGUAGUUAGGGGCUUCCCCUUGUGAGAGUAGGACGUUGCCAGGU
rnacentral:rRNA from 1 species